GACGAACGCUGGCGGCGUGCCUAAUACAUGCAAGUUGAGCGCUGAAGGUUGGUACUUGUACCAACUGGAUGAGCAGCGAACGGGUGAGUAACGCGUGGGGAAUCUGCCUUUGAGCGGGGGACAACAUUUGGAAACGAAUGCUAAUACCGCAUAAAAACUUUAAACACAAGUUUUAAGUUUGAAAGAUGCAGUUGCAUCACUCAAAGAUGAUCCCGCGUUGUAUUAGCUAGUUGGUGAGGUAAAGGCUCACCAAGGCGAUGAUACAUAGCCGACCUGAGAGGGUGAUAGGCCACAUUGGGACUGAGACACGGCCCAAACUCCUACGGGAGGCAGCAGUAGGGAAUCUUCGGCAAUGGACGAAAGUCUGACCGAGCAACGCCGCGUGAGUGAAGAAGGUUUUCGGAUCGUAAAACUCUGUUGGUAGAGAAGAACGUUGGUGAGAGUGGAAAGCUCAUCAAGUGACGGUAACUACCCAGAAAGGGACGGCUAACUACGUG
rnacentral:rRNA from 1 species